rnacentral:rRNA from 1 species
GACGUAGGGCGCGAGCGUUGUCCGGAUUUAUUGGGCGUAAAGAGCGUGUAGGCGGCCAGAUAAGUCCGUUGUGAAAACUCGAGGCUCAACCUCGAGACGCCGAUGGAAACCAUUUGGCUAGAGUCCGGAAGAGGAGAGUGGAAUUCCUGGUGUAGCGGUGAAAUGCGCAGAUAUCAGGAAGAACACCCGUGGCUAAGGCGGCUCUCUAGUACGGUACUGACGCUGAGACGCGAAAGCGUGGGGAGCGAACAGG